rnacentral:rRNA from 1 species
GAUGAACGCUGGCGGCGUGCCUAAUACAUGCAAGUCGAGCGAACAGACGAGGAGCUUGCUCCUCUGACGUUAGCGGCGGACGGGUGAGUAACACGUGGAUAACCUACCUAUAAUACUGGGAUAACUUCGGGAAACCGGAGCUAAUACCGGAUAAUAUAUUGAACCGCAUGGUUCAAUAGUGAAAGUCGGUUUUGCUGUCUCGUAUAGAUGCAUCUCGGCCGCAUUAGCUAGUUGUGAAGUUAACGGCCUACCAAGGCAACGAUGCGUAGCCGACCUGAGAGAGUGAUAGGCCGCACUGGAACUGGAACGCGGUCCAGACUCCUGCGGGAGGGAGCAGUAGGGAAUCUUCCGCAGUGGGCGAGAGCCUGACGGAGCAACGCCGCGUGAGAGAUAAAGGUCUUCGGAUCGUAAAGCUCUGUUAUGAGGGAAGAACAAAUGUGUAAGUAACUAUGCACGUCUUGACGGUACCUGAUCAGAAAGCCACGGCUAACUACGUG